AAUGACCACAAAGCAAGGAACAAAACAGGGAAAACUGGUAGCGGGGUUGAAGAAGAUGAUCUUGUUGAUGUUCUUUUGAGGCUUCAGGAGCAUGGAAACCUUGAAUUUCCGUUGACAACCGACAACAUCAAAGCAGUUAUCCUGGUUAGUAUGCCGAUUAAUCAAUAAUGCUUCAGAAAGUAAAACUGUUCUCUCUCUGUUUCUGAAUAUGUUACCUGUUAACAUUAUUUCAGGACAUUUUCAUCGCUGGCAGUGAGACAUCAUCGACAACAGUAGAGUGGGCAAUGUCCGAACUGCUGAGGAAUCCAAGAGUGAUGGAGAAGGCACAAGAAGAGGUGAGGAGGGUAACUGAUAAAAAAGGAAACGUGGAGGAAACAGACAUACAUGAACUGACAUACUUGAAGGCAAUUAUCAAAGAAACUUUGAGAUUACACCCUCCUGCUCCAUUGCUACUUCCAAGAGAAGGUAGAGAGAGAUGUGAGAUUAACGGGUACGAG
rnacentral:lncRNA from 1 species